rnacentral:tmRNA from 1 species
GGGGGCGUUCUGGUUUCGACUGGUGGUUUGAAGGGCCGGCUGCAUGCCGAGGUUGAUCGGUUGGCCUCGUAAAAAGCCGAUCAAACAAUAAACGCAAAUAACGAACCUGAACUUGCUCUGGCUGCCUAAUUGAGCGGCCCGUGGCUCGCCCGACGCCUGCUGAGGCGAGCCGCGCACGCCUGCAGGCUGGUGCCCCGCCGGGCGUCCGGGCGGUGGGACGAGAGGUUACAGUGGCGACCGGGGGAAAGGGAUUCUGUUGGUCGAAGCCCCUCCCCUUAAAUCAAAAGACCCACUAAGCAUGUAGAGGCUUGCUUGGACGGCCACGAGGACAGGGGUUCGACUCCCCUCGCCUCCACUU